rnacentral:tRNA from 1 species
GCGGGUUUCUGAAAUAUUUCAUCGCUGUUGGAUUCAGAAGCGGCUCGCGAGGCUAGGCGGCAGCCUUCCAAGCUGUUGAUACGGGUUCGAUUCCCGUCACCCGCUCCA